rnacentral:rRNA from 1 species
GACGAACGCUGGCGGCGUGCUUAACACAUGCAAGUCGAGCGGAGCGGCGAACGGGUGAGUAACGCGUGAGUAACUGCCCCCCUCUCUGGGAUAACAGUUGGAAACGGCUGCUAAUACCGGAUAGUGGGGGAUGACGCGCGUCCUAUCAGCUUGUUGGGGGGGUAUGGGCAUACCAAGGCGGAGACGGGUAGCCGGCCUGGGGGGGGGCCCGGCCACAUUGGGCGACGAGACGGCCCAAACUCCUACGGUGGGCAGCAGGGGGGAAUAGUGCACAAGGGUGCAAACCCUGAUGCAGCAACGCCGCGUGCGGGAUGACGGCCUUCGGGUUGUAAACCGCUUUCAGCCAUGACGCGGUAGUGGCAGAAGAAGCACCGGCUAACUACGUGCCAGCAGCCGCGGUAAUAC